UACAGGGGGUGCAAACGUUGCUCGGAAUUAUUGGGGCGUAAAGCGCGCGUAGGCGGCUACUUAUGUCGGAUGUGAAAGCCCUUGGCUCAACUGAGGAAGUGCACCCGAAACUGAGUAGCUGGAGUACGAAAGAGGGUCGCGGAAUUCCCGGUGUAGAGGUGAAAUUCGUAGAUAUCGGGAGGAACACCAGUGGCGAAGGCGACUUCCUGGCCUGUUCUUGACGCUGAGGCGCGAAAGCUAGGGUGAGCAAACGGG
rnacentral:rRNA from 1 species